rnacentral:lncRNA from 1 species
CAGGGCUAUACAGAGAAACCCUGUCUCGAAAAACCAAAAAAAAAAAAAAAAAAGUAAUAUUUUUACUCUGUGGUGUUUUGCUGUUCUCUCCUCCCUGGUGCAGUUAGGAGUCACAAGCAUGUUUGGGUCUGAAAUGAUGGGAAUUGGUGGGAGAACUCACUAAUAGAACCUACCAUUUUGUGAAACUAAAUAAUAGAUGACAGUUUACUAAUAUAAUGUUCAACCAUCUUCACUCUUACCAAGGAAGGAAUAUAUUCAUAUUUUAACUAGGAAUGUUACAAAGUAUAGACUGCCAUCUAGAGACAGACACAUCAGUGAAGGUAAAAUCACAACUUUAAAGCUAUUGUAAAAAUUGCAUAUUUUAUAAAAUAUCUUCAUAAUAUUUUUUUUAUUUUUACUCCGUUAUUGCAUACAUAAACCAGGUGAUUCACAUGUACUCCAACAUACUUAACACAUUUUGUUGGAAAUUUCUCUUGGAAAGCAACCAGAAUAUGAGUCUUUUUCUCUACAUUUUGUCCAGCUUCCCUUCUUAUUUCAUUAGAAAGAUGGUCAAACUCAUUGCAUUGCUAGAUAAUCAGCCGUGCAUUUACUGUGUGCUGACACUUUUUUAGUGACUUCCUUCCAGUUUUAGUAGUCUUAGUACUACUCUUCUCUUCUUCUGAAGGGUUCUUUUACCAAAUUCAUUGAUACUCUUUGGCAGUCUUUCCCUUUUUUAUUUUGAUUUAUAGCUCAUGUGAACCUAGAUAAAGCAAACAUGAAAGAAAGACCACCAAAAGUUUGUCCUAGUAUCUGAUUGCAAUAUCCGUUCAAUACCAUAAUGGCAGAUAAUUUAAGAAUCUGUGACUAUAAUCUUUGAAAUAUGAGGUUGAUUCAUACACAGAACACUUGAAAGGCCUUUACUAUUUGGAAUGCUUUUUGCUAGAGUAUCAGGCAGUGGUAGCAUAUUUUAUCACACAUAGGUUUCAGUAGUGCUAAGUAUGUAAUGUUAUGUCGUUAAAAGCUUGAAACUUAAAAUGUUAUUUGCGAUAUUGUUAUAGUAUCAAGUAGCAAAAUUUUGCCUGUGUCUAGUUUCCUGUCUUUAAUUUUUCAUGUAACUGUCACAUUUACGCCCUUUUGUUUUUAGUUGGAAAGAUAAAAAGGGCCAGGCAGCUACUAGUAUAGAACUUAGGGAAGUAAAUCCUAACAUGGACAAGAAGCAUCCAAGAAUACAAUUCUGCUUGUCUGGCCAGUAAUAAGGUGCAUGCAGAGGUGACCCAGGUGCAGUUCUCCAGGCUGUACUCUGGUUUAUAUACAGAGCUGUGCGACAGUUUACUUGUUCCCGAGUUUCUUCUGAUUGCUUCAUUCCAUUCUCUUCUGGUAAAUACAAGGUACUUUGGAUAGGGUUGUUUAGUGCUGUUGAGCCUAAUCACCUCUACUUUGGAUUGAAGACUAGGUUUGAGUGGUUAGGUAACUGCUGUAGUAUUUUUUCUGGUUUUUAGAAAAAAAGGCAGGUUCCAACUUUGCAAACACCAUUUUAACCUGGAAACAAAGGUAAUUAGAAAUUCAGGUUCCAGUAGAGUUCCAUGGAGGUUCUAGAGUUCUGCCAAAACCAACAACCCAAGAAAAGCAUCCUAUCACUUCAUUCAUGGACUUCAUGUUAAGAGCAGUGGUAAAAAUAGGUUAAAGUUGGCAGCUCAGUAUUGACUCUGCUUUUUAUGAACUAUAGACAUAAUGUAAAAGUUUUAGUUUGAUAUUCUCUUGAAUAUGUUUUUCUUAUCUCUAUUUUGUUUCUUAUACGAAUGUAUUUUUAAACUUAAGUGUGCUAUACAUUCUCCAGGCUCUAGAAUUUAAAGCACUGAGCAGAGUAUCUUGAAUCUUUUCUACAGUAAUCCUAUUACUGCCUUCAAAAUUAGAUAUCACAAACAAUCUAGUCAUUUAAUAGAGUAAUAAAAUGUAACAGCUCUCAAGAUGAAGUACAAAUGGCAUAUAUAAACAGAAAAACAAAUCUCAGUAUGGCUAUUCAUCAGGGAAAUGCAAAUGAAGCAUGCAUUGAGAUUCUGUCUUCAUCUAGAAUGUAAGUAAUCAAGAAAACACAUAAUAAAUUCUGACCAGGAAAUGGACAAAAGGGAAUUCUUGAGUUAUAAACCCUCUUGAGAAUGCAAACUAAUCUAGGCACUAUGGAAUUCAAAGUCCUC